GACGAACGCUGGCGGCGUGCUUAACACAUGCAAGUCGAACGAAGUGGCGAACGGGUGAGUAACGCGUAAUCAACCUGCCCUUCAGCGGGGGACAACAGUUGGAAACGACUGCUAAUACCGCAUACUGAAGGAGGGGAUUGCGUCUGAUUAGCUAGUUGGAGGGGUAACGGCCCACCAAGGGGAUGAUCAGUAGCCGGGUCGGGGGGAUGGACGGCCAAAAUGGGACUGGGACAAGGGCCAGACUCCUUCGGGGGGGAGCAGUGGGGGAACUUCCGCAAUGGGCGAAAGUCUGGCGGAGCAAAGCCGCGUGAGAGAAGACGGGCUUCGGGGUGUAAAGCUAUGUUAAUCGGGAAGCGGUACCGGAAUAGAAAGCCACGGCUAACUACGUGCCAGCCGCCGCGGUAAUUC
rnacentral:rRNA from 1 species